CCUAUCAUGCAGUCGAGCGAACUGAUUAGAAGCUUGCUUCUAUGACGUUAGCGGCGGACGGGUGAGUAACACGUGGGCAACCUGCCUGUAAGACUGGGAUAACUUCGGGAAACCGAAGCUAAUACCGGAUAGGAUCUUCUCCUUCAUGGGAGAUGAUUGAAAGAUGGUUUCGGCUAUCACUUACAGAUGGGCCCGCGGUGCAUUAGCUAGUUGGUGAGGUAACGGCUCACCAAGGCAACGAUGCAUAGCCGACCUGAGAGGGUGAUCGGCCACACUGGGACUGAGACACGGCCCAGACUCCUACGGGAGGCAGCAGUAGGGAAUCUUCCGCAAUGGACGAAAGUCUGACGGAGCAACGCCGCGUGAGUGAUGAAGGCUUUCGGGUCGUAAAACUCUGUUGUUAGGGAAGAACAAGUACAAGAGUAACUGCUUGUACCUUGACGGUACCUAACCAGAAAGCCACGGCUAACUACGUGCCAGCAGCCGCGGUAAUACGUAGGUGGCAAGCGUUAUCCGGAAUUAUUGGGCGUAAAGCGCGCGCAGGCGGUUUCUUAAGUCUGAUGUGAAAGCCCACGGCUCAACCGUGGAGGGUCAUUGGAAACUGGGGAACUUGAGUGCAGAAGAGAAAAGCGGAAUUCCACGUGUAGCGGUGAAACGCGUAGAGAUGUGGAGGAACACCAGUGGCGAAGGCGGCUUUUUGGUCUGUAACUGACGCUGAGGCGCGAAAGCGUGGGGAGCAAACAGGAUUAGAUACACUGGCAGUCCACGCCGUAAACGAUGAGUGCUAAGUGUUAGAGGGUUUCCGCCCUUUAGUGCUGCAGCUAACGCAUUAAGCACUCCGCCUGGGGAGUACGGUCGCAAGACUGAAACUCAAAGGAAUUGACGGGGGGCCCGCACAAGCGGUGGAGCAUGUGGUUUAAUUCGAAGCAACGCGAAAAACCUUACCCAGGUCUUGACAUCCUCUGACAACUCUAGAGAUAGAGCGUUCCCC
rnacentral:rRNA from 1 species